CACGUAGGGUGCGAGCGUUGUCCGGAAUUAUUGGGCGUAAAGAGCUCGUAGGCGGUGUGUCGCGUCGGCCGUGAAAACCUGCAGCUUAACUGAGGGCUUGCGGUCGAUACGGGCAUCACUGGAGUUCGGCAGGGGAGACUGGAAUUCCUGGUGUAGCGGUGAAAUGCGCAGAUAUCAGGAGGAACACCGGUGGCGAAGGCGGUUCUCUGGGCAUUACCUGACGCUGAGGAGCGAAAGUGUGGGGAGCGAACAGG
rnacentral:rRNA from 1 species